UGGGGAUCACCUGAAUGCAAUUAACAAGGAUGAGGCACAGUGGUGCAGCAAACUUGUAUUUGAGUUUCAAACCUUUACAAAAAAGCAUAACAAAUUAGUCAAGUAGUCUCUUCCUCUUCAAGCUUUUUUUUCUGCAAGUGUGGAAGGGGAAAAAACAGCAAACAAUCUUGAUUUUUUGGAAGAAAGCAUAGUACUGCAAGCUUUGAGUUAAAGAAAUACAUGGAAGCAAAAGAAGGGGACACAAUGACUACCGUCUACGCCAGUGACUGCAAUCUCAGCUCAGCCAAGCUGAGUAAGGUUAAAGUAAGGAGCCUCCUCCAAAGACAUUGCUGCUGCAAGAGCUCCACACAGUCUGGUGAACCACCAGCCUUGACAAGAAGGAGAUUGCACAUCAUGUUGUCCUGCUAGCAAACUGAUUCUCC
rnacentral:lncRNA from 1 species